rnacentral:rRNA from 1 species
CUAAAUACGUGCCAGCAGCCGCGGUAAUACGUAUGGGGCAAGCGUUAUCCGGAUUUACUGGGUGUAAAGGGAGCGCAGGCGGCCUGGCAAGCCUGAUGUGAAAUACCGGGGCCCAACCCCGGGGCUGCAUUGGGAACUGCCAGGCUGGAGUGCCGGAGAGGCAGGCGGAAUUCCUAGUGUAGCGGUGAAAUGCGUAGAUAUUAGGAGGAACACCAGUGGCGAAGGCGGCCUGCUGGACGGUGACUGACGCUGAGGCUCGAAAGCGUGGGGAGCAAACAGGAUUAGAUACCCUGGU